rnacentral:lncRNA from 1 species
UGUAGAUUUUUUGGUUUCCCAUAGGUAUCCUCGCACUGAAGGUAAUCCUGUCCGAGCCGGGCACAUCCACAGGUAAGUGGGGCUAACUCUCCCAACGUGCAUUUUUUCUAUCCACAAGACUCGAACCCGAGUUCUUGCUUAAGAGGAAUCAAGCAUGUACCACUUGAACCAACACUCGUUGGUAUUUUGUGUAGAUUGAUUUGAUAGAGAAAUGAAGAUAGAAUUUUCUUGGUACCAAGCAUCUGACUUCCUAUGAGGGCGAAUUCAUACCUUAUCAGUUAUUGGUUUGUCACUCCUUUUUCAUUCAAAGAUUGAUGAUAAGCAACAAAUCGUCUACUUGUAUAUAAAAAAAUC